GAGACGGAUAAACUGUAAGAGUUUAGUUAGAUGUUGACCUGCAGUAAAGAUUGGCUAUGGCCUUACCAUGAAAGUCUAAAGAAGGAGAAAAGAGUGAAAGCACCGUCGAGAAGACCUGUUUGAAGACUGUGUAACUGUGGGAAGGGCCAGAUCUCUAAGUACACAAGGGGUUUCUCAUGUUCAGAAACUCUUCAAUUCAACUUAAUCUCAAAAAGCAUAAAGCAGAACUAGUCUAAGAACAAGAUUAGAAGACUGUAUAGCUCAGAGAGGAGAUGAAUAAGAGGGGAUGUGAUUAAAGUAUACAAAAUAUU